GUAGGUGAACCUGCGGAAGGAUCAUUAAAAAUUAUCAGUAUAGAUCUGGCGACCUCCCUGCGCAAGUACGCGAGAGGGGGGGGAGGUGAGGUAAGACAAGAUUGUGGGCGAGAAAUUAAGAGAUGUAGGGAGGAACCCCUAAGCAGGGAAUCCUCCUCGCUCUUUUUGAGCCUCAAGGUGAAAAAAGACAGGGAGGAUCCCCUAAGCAGGGAACCUCCCUAACUUUCGAAGCUUUAUCCCACUCUUAUUC
rnacentral:misc_RNA from 1 species